AGUGAACGCUGGCGGCGUGCCUAAUACAUGCAAGUCGAACGGAGUGGCGCACGGGUGAGUAAUAUAUAGCUAAUCUGCCCCUUGCUGGAGGACAACAGUUAGAAAUGACUGCUAAUACUCCAUAGCAAGGGAUGAGACUAUAUCGUAUCAGCUGGUCGGUGGGGUAACGGCCUACCGGGUCUAUGACGCGUAACUGGUCUGAGAGGAUGAGCAGUGACAGUGGAGCUGAGACACGGUCCAAACGCCUACGGGAUGGAUCAGUAGGGAAUAUUGCGCAAUGGGGGAAACCCUGACGCAGCAACGCCGCGUGGAGUAUGACGCUUUUCGGGGUGUAAACUCCUUUUGUUAGGGAAGCGGUACCUAACGAGUAAGGGCCGGCUAACUCCGUGCCAGCAGCCGCGGUAAUUC
rnacentral:rRNA from 1 species